rnacentral:rRNA from 1 species
CCUGGCUCAGAUUGAACGCUGGCGGCAGGCCUAACACAUGCAAGUCGAACGGUAGCACAGAGAGCUUGCUCUCGGGUGACGAGUGGCGGACGGGUGAGUAAUGUCUGGGAAACUGCCCGAUGGAGGGGGAUAACUACUGGAAACGGUAGCUAAUACCGCAUAACGUCUUCGGACCAAAGUGGGGGACCUUCGGGCCUCACACCAUCGGAUGUGCCCAGAUGGGAUUAGCUAGUAGGUGGGGUAAUGGCUCACCUAGGCGACGAUCCCUAGCUGGUCUGAGAGGAUGACCAGCCACACUGGAACUGAGACACGGUCCAGACUCCUACGGGAGGCAGCAGUGGGGAAUAUUGCACAAUGGGCGCAAGCCUGAUGCAGCCAUGCCGCGUGUAUGAAGAAGGCCUUCGGG